AUUGAACGCUGGCGGCAUGCCUUACACAUGCAAGUCGAACGGUAACAGGUUAAGCUGACGAGUGGCGAACGGGUGAGUAAUAUACCGGAACGUGCCCAGUCGUGGGGGAUAACUGCUCGAAAGAGCAGCUAAUACCGCAUACGACCUGAGGGUGAAAGCGGGGGAUCGCAAGACCUCGCGCGAUUGGAGCGGCCGAUAUCAGAUUAGGUAGUUGGUGGGGUAAAGGCCUACCAAGCCCACGAUCUGUAGCUGGUCUGAGAGGACGACCAGCCACACUGGGACUGAGACACGGCCCAGACUCCUACGGGAGGCAGCAGUGGGGAAUUUUGGACAAUGGACGCAAGUCUGAUCCAGCCAUGCCGCGUGCGGGAAGAAGGCCUUCGGGUUGUAAACCGCUUUUGUCAGGGAAGAAAAGGUUCUGGUUAAUACCUGGGACUCAUGACGGUACCUGAAGAAUAAGCACCGGCUAACUACGUGCCAGCAGCCGCGGUAAAAC
rnacentral:rRNA from 1 species